rnacentral:rRNA from 1 species
AGCGAACGCUGGCGGCAGGCCUAACACAUGCAAGUCGAACGAACUCUUCGGAGUUAGUGGCGGACGGGUGAGUAACACGUGGGAACGUGCCUUUAGGUUCGGAAUAACUCAGGGAAACUUGUGCUAAUACCGAAUGUGCCCUUCGGGGGAAAGAUUUAUCGCCUUUAGAGCGGCCCGCGUCUGAUUAGCUAGUUGGUGAGGUAAAGGCUCACCAAGGCGACGAUCAGUAGCUGGUCUGAGAGGAUGAUCAGCCACAUUGGGACUGAGACACGGCCCAAACUCCUACGGGAGGCAGCAGUGGGGGAUCUUGCGCAAUGGGCGAAAGCCUGACGCAGCCAUGCCGCGUGAAUGAUGAAGGUCUUAGGAUUGUAAAAUUCUUUCACCGGGGACGAUAAUGACGGUACCCGGAGAAGAAGCCCCGGCUAACUUCGUG